rnacentral:ncRNA from 1 species
UUCUAGCCAUGAGCAGGUUGAAGAGAGCUCUAACAGCCCUUGGUGGAUCGAACCCACGUAUGUGGCAAAAUACAUGGAUGACUUGUGGCUAGGGGUGAAAGGCCAACCAAGAUCGGAUAUAGUUGGUUUCCUGCGAAAUCUAUUUCAGUAGAGUGUAUGAUGUCGAUGGCCCGAGGUAGAGCACUCAAUAAGCUAGGGUGGCCCCAUUUUCGCCUUACCAACCCCAGAAAAAUUCCGAAUAUAGGCCU